rnacentral:pre_miRNA from 1 species
UCUUCAUUUCACACACUCUCUCACCGAUCGGAGAGGCGAUGGAGCGCGUGAAAUGAAGAGA